CUGCUGUAGCCCCUACGUGGUGAGUAGAUCGUCUCCACAGAAAUCAGCGGAGGCUUCCACAGUCCCUGGUUGGAAUGGAACCGGCGGUGAGGAUGAGAGGCGCUGAAGACCAGAAGACCCAGGGCGUGAACGGGGCGUGUCAUCCCUGGAGUUUCAGUAGAAUUUCAGGCCUGUCUGCUUGAGCAGCAGAGGAGGAGUUUCUGUGUGCCUGUGAGAGACUGUGUGUGUGUGUGUGUGUGUGUGUGUGUGUGAGAUGAAUGAACAGGGUUGUGUACGUGUGUGUGCGUUAGACAAAUGAACAGUGUUGUGUACCUGUGUGAAUUGUCACUGUGACUCCAGGCUCUAGGCUCUGCAGAUUCCUCAGCCCUAUCGCCUCACAGACACUUGGGAUGUGCAGCAGGUAAAAGAGAGAAGCCAGAUUCAUGGAGGCGUGAAGGAUCCCAGCAAGAAAACACAGACUUGAUCUUGAGACGAGAUUUUUGAAAUUGGUUGCGGCCUCAAGGCAGGCUCUGAGAAGACUCGAUAAAGAGUUCUCAGGAAUAGGCAUCCCUCCUGGAUAUUUCCCCCUUGGAAGCGCCGAGGAGCCAGCUCUAUGUUUGUAACCAUAGCAUUUCUAAAGCUCCAGCCCCAGGAACCUGCUGUGAAUUAGAGACAGAUUCCACCCUAGGCAUCACUGAUCUUGGCCUCUCUUGUAUUGGGAAGGUCAACACUGUUCCAGUUUCUCUCCUACUCCCAUCUGGUUGUGCUCGGUGAAGUAGGUGAGCAGUGCUACCCUUCUGUUAAAAAAAAAAAAAAAAAAAAGAUCCUGAAAGAGGAAAGAAUUUUUGCUACACAUCUGAAAGCUAAAGUCCAGACUUGGAACCAACCCAAAUGCCCAUCAGUGAUAGACUGGAUAAAGAAAAUAUGGCACAUAUACACCAUGGAAUACUAUGCAACCAUAAAAAAGAAUGAAAUCAUGUCCUCUGCAAGGACAUGGAUGAAGCUGGAAGCCAUCAUUCUCAGCAAACUAAUGCAGAAACUGAAAACCAAGCACCACAUGUUCUCACUCAUAAGUGGGGGUUGAACAAUGAGAACACAUGGCACAGGGAAAGGAACAACACACACUGGAGCCUGUCGGGGAGUUGGGGGGCAAGGGGAGGGAGAGCACUGGACAAAUUACCUAAUGCAUGUGGGGCUUAAAACCUAAAUGUCAGAUUGAUAGGUACAGCAAACCACCAUGACACAUAUAUACCUAUGUAAAAAACCUACACAUCUGCACCUGUAUCCCAGAACUUAAAGUAAAAUAAAAAUGAAUUAAUUAAUUUUGAAGAAAAAGAAACCAAUAAUCCAAUUUAAAAAUGGGCAAGGACUUGAAUAGACUUUUUUCCAAAGAUGACACGCAAAUGGUUAAGUGGUACCUGAAAAGCACAUCAGACAAAUGCAAAUGAAACCACAAUGAGAUGUUACCACAAUACCUGUUAGGAUGACUAUUAUAAAAAGAAAGUAGGUAAGUGGGCUGGGCGCGGUGGCUCACCCCUGUAAUCCCAGCACUUUGGGAGGCCGAGGCGGGCGGAUCACGAGGUCAGGAGAUUGAGACCACGGUGAAACCCCGUCUCUACUAAAAAUACAAAAAUAAUUAGCCGGGCACGGUGGCAGGCGCCUGUAGUCCCAGCUACUCGGGAGGCUGAGGCAGGAGAAUGGCGUGAACCCGGGAGGCGGAGCUUGCAGUGAGCUGAGAUCGCGCCACUGCACUCCAGCCUGGGUGACAGAGCAAGACUCCGUCUCAAAAAAAAAAAAGAAAAGAAAAGAAAAUAGAUAAGUGUUGGUGAGGAUGUAGAGGAAAGGGAACACUUGUACACUGUUGAUGGCAAUAUCAAUUGGUAUAGCCAUUAUGUAAAACAGUAUGAAGGUUCCUUAAAAUAAUAAAAAUAAACCUAUCAUAUGAAAAAAAAAAGUGACGAGAUGUCUCUACUGUGAUUAUGUUAUACCAUAUAAGACUCAUAGCAGAUUGGACUUCUUUUGUGGGCUUGAUGAAGUAAGUGGCAAUGUUGGAGAAGCCCAUCUUGCAAAGGAACUGCAGGUGGCCUGCAGAACCUGAGGGCAACCUCCAGCCAACAGUCAGCAAAAAGGUGAGGCCCUCAGUCGUAUGGCCACAGGGAAAUGAAUUCUCCCUACAAUCUGAAUGAACCUGGAAAUGAAUUCUCCCCCAGUUGAACUCCAGAGGAGAACACAGCCCAGGUAACCCCUCGUUUGCAGCCUGUGAGACCAGCCUGAGGACAGCACCCAGCUAAACUCCAGGUCCAUGGAAACUGUGAGAUUUUAUAUAUUUAUGUUGUUUUAAGCUAAAUUCGUGGUAAUUGGUUAUGGUAGCAACUGAAAAUUAAUGCAGUAAGAAAGUCUAAGGAGAUCGGAAGAGACUAAAGAGAAAUAACAGCUAAAUGCAACGUAGAUUAAUGUGUGGGAUCCUGGAAAAGAAAAAGGACAUUAAUGGGAAAACAUAUUUGAAUAAGAUGUGCAAAUUUUUCGUAUUGUACCAAUGUUAAUUUCCUGGUUUUGAUAAUUAUCCUUUGGUUAUGUAAGAUAAACGCUAGAAUGAAGGGUAUAUGAGAACCCUCUGUACUACUCUUGCAACUUUUCUCUAAGUCUAAAAUAAGUGGAAAUUAAAAGUUAAAACAAAAAAAAAGGAAAAUUUUAUCUAUCCCAAGACCACAAAGUUAUUUUUCUGUUUCUUCCUCCAGAAUCUUUAUUGUUUGUUUUCACACUUAGACCUAUGAUCCAUCUUGAAUUUAUAUCUGUGUAUGUAGUGGGAUGAAGUUCAAAAUCAUUUUUUUCAUACAGAUAUCCAAGUGCACUGGCACCGUUUGUUAAAAACACUGGCCUUCUCUUAAGCUGCAGUCAGACUUUUACUGUAAAGCAUGGGCCCAUAUAUGUGCAGGAGUCUUUCUACUUUUCCGUUGGUCCUCUUUGUCAAUCUUUGUGCCAGCACCUCCAUUUUAAUUCCUGUAGCUUUAUAUUAUAUCUUGAUAAUCUGGUAAUAUAAGUUGAAGAACAACUUUGUUCUUCAAAAUCACUUUGUCUAUUCCAGGUUCUUUGCAUUGCUCUAUAAUUUUAGAAUGAGUUAAUUAAUUUUCUCAAAACAAACAAAACGCCCUGCUGACAUUUUGUUGGCAGUACAUUGAAUCAGUAGAUAAAUUUAGAGAGAAUUAUCUCAAAAUUGAGUCUUACAGUUCAUGAACAUGGAAUACAUUUCCAUUUAUUGAAUUCAUCUUUAAUUUCUUUCCUUAAGGUUUUGUUGUUUCCUGUCUAAAGGUCUUGCACAUCUGUUAAAUUUAUUCCUGUUUUACAUUUUUUAUGUUUUUACAAACUGUUAAGGUUUUAAAAAUUUUAUUUUUCAGUAGCUUUGCUUUAAUAUAAUUGUUUUAUACUUUUACCCUUUAUUCAGCAAUAAAUUAUUUAAUUUAAAGCUUGUGGAAUUAAAAAAUAUUUUUAUGUACAUAAUCAUGUAAUCUACACUAUCUGCAAAUAAAGAUCAUUUUACUUCCUUCC
rnacentral:lncRNA from 1 species